UACGGAGGGUGCAAGCGUUGUCCGGAUUUAUUGGGCGUAAAGAGCGUGUAGGCGGCCUUACAGGUCAGCUGUGAAAACUCGAGGCUCAACCUCGAGACGUCGGUUGAAACCGUAAGGCUAAAGUCCGGAAGAGGAGAGUGGAAUUCCCGGUGUAGCGGUGAAAUGCGCAGAUAUCGGGAAGAACACCCGUGGCGAAGGCGGCUCUCUGGGACGGUACUGACGCUGAGACGCGAAAGCGUGGGGAGCGAACAGG
rnacentral:rRNA from 1 species